rnacentral:rRNA from 1 species
AGGACGAACGCUGGCGGCGUGCUUAACACAUGCAAGUCGAGCGGAAAGGCCCUUCGGGGUACUCGAGCGGCGAACGGGUGAGUAACACGUGAGCAAUCUACCCUUAGCUUCGGGAUAGCUCCGGGAAACCGGAAUUAAUACCGGAUACGACUGCGGUCGACAUCGGCUGUGGUGAAAAGAUUUAUCGGCUAGGGAUGAGCUCGCGGCCUAUCAGCUUGUUGGUGGGUAACGGCCCACCAAGGCGACGACGGGUA